AAAGUUCAAAACGACUACGUUCGACAUAAAUUGAAGAAGUAAAUAUAUAUAUACAUCUCAAACCCAAAGGAGCGAGGAUUUUACGAUCCAAACACAUCAGAAUUUGCAAAGUUGGAAUCAAUUUAACAAGCACAGACAUCAUUGUGUUGGUGAAUUAGGUUAAAGUUUUAUGUCACUAAAUUUACUUGAUUCUCUUGUUAUUUUAUGUUCUUUUUAAUUUAUUUCCUCUCUCUUUUUCCUUGCAUUAAAUUUGAGCUCUAAAAUUUGUUCCUUUUAGAGGGAAUGGAAUCAUCGUCAUCGUCGUCUUCUAUAAUAAGUCCAGAAGAUGUAUUAGAAUCACUCAUGAACGAUGGUACUAUUGAUGCUCUCAGAUUAAAGAUCAUUAAUCAGCUUAAAGCAAACGAAGAGUUAAAGAAUACAACUAUUAGAAUGGCUGAACAAAGCAAGGUUUUAAAUACACCUGGAGCUGAGAAGCAGACUAAAAGAGAGUUGUUUGAUGCGCUUCGACAGGAACUCGAAACUCCAGUACUUGAGAAGGCCUCUAGAUCAGUGUGGGAGUUAAUCCUAGAUAGCAAUGGAUUGGGGAAAGAAAUAAGUGAAACCGUUGAAAGAGUGUUCUGUAGAUUAAGUGGACGGGAACCUCCAUUGUUUCCAGUGCAAAAUGCUGAAACCCAGUUGACUAAAGAAAAUGACAAGAAGGGAGGAGAAGGAAAAGAAGAGGAGAGUGAAAGUCAGAAGGAAAAAUUAAACUCAAAUUCAAAAAAAAGGAGUUAUAGUGAGAUGAACAUGGAAGGAAGGGGAACUGAACUUGGAAGCCAGUCGGCUAAUGAAGUUGCAGGAAAACCCAGUGAACCUGCACUUCUACAAGAAAGCUCUAGUAAAUCCCCUCUGCCAACUUGAUAGAAUUCAACCUUUGUGUGGAACUAGCUGUGCUUUGCAGAGGAAAUUAUCAGUCGGGAUUAAAUUUGCUUUGGCCGCCUCUCAAGUAAAUUUCUAGUUGUGCCACUGCAUAAGAUGAGCUCCAAGUUGCCCGUAAGCUAUACCUGAUGCAUCCUUCUGACUGCCUCCGUCCAUGCCUUUUUGGAUCUUAACAUUGUUAGUUUGAAGUCUCGUAGCUUAAACGGUAUCAGAGCUAAUCUGGGUUUACCAUGGUCAAACCAGUUGCACAGUAUGUGGCAGUAUGAUUUGCAGGCUGCAGCUUUCUCCAAGGCAUAGGGAUUCAAGCAGUUACCUGAGGGCAAAUUCUUACAGCUCUCCAAGAACAUCAGUGGUUAGGUGGUGAAAGAGUAGUACCCUUUACUCUUUAAGGGUUGCCAAUGAUUAUGGAUAAUGCCAGAAUUGAAUGUGAAUAUGUGCAAGUCACAACUGGCAAAGGUUUAGGUAUUGGGCUAAUUUUUUAGGAUAACAUGAUUGUAUUCAAAUUUAUGUUGCCUCUCGUGUUGAAGAAGACUAGCAGAGACUACAUGAAGGAUGAUAUUACGUUUGUGAUAUUGAUGGCCACUUGAGAAUUGAAUUAGCAAGCAUGCCCAAGAAAUGACCACCCUUUAGGAGGAUCGGAAAACAAGCUACCACUCAAUGCAAUGACGGCUACUAGAUUGUUAUUGACUAGAAUCUUGAUCUGACUCGAAAUGCUGCUUUGUGUUUAAGGCAGCUAGCAUGACGCGUUUAGUGACUUGUAGGAAAAGCCUUGUACUGCACAACUGUAUGUUAGAAGAGCAAUAGAAAUAACUUUUUUGACAAGACAUGUACACAUUCCCUUCAAAUUAUACUUUCUUCAAAGAAAUGAUUCAUUAAACAGAUAUAAAAGUUAACCAUUCUUUU